rnacentral:misc_RNA from 1 species
GAUGAAGAACGUAGCGAAAUGCGAUAAGUAAUGUGAAUUGCAGAAUUCAGUGAAUCAUCGAAUCUUUGAACGCACAUUGCGCCCGCCAGUAUUCUGGCGGGCAUGCCUGUUCGAGCGUCAUUACAACCCUCAGGCCCCCGGGCCUGGCGUUGGGGAUCGGCGGAAGCCCCCUGCGGGCACAACGCCGUCCCCCAAAUACAGUGGCGGUCCCGCCGCAGCUUCCAUUGCGUAGUAGCUAACACCUCGCAACUGGAGAGCGGCGCGGCCACGCCGUAAAACACCCAACUUCUGAAUGUUGACCUCGAAUCAGGUAGGAAUACCCGCUGAACUUAAGCAUAUCAUAAGCGGGGA